rnacentral:lncRNA from 1 species
CUCUGUGGUUCUCACUUGCGUGUCUAGUUACAGAUACUGGUGGUUACAGCAAGGCUUGCUGCUGCAACAGUUACAAAUAAGAUCAUUAGGAGAGCGAGAGGACUGAUAGGGAUAACUGGUUUGCUGGGAGAGAGGAUGACGAGAAAGACUUCAGAGCUGCAAAGCUGACCAGAAACAUGUUGACAUCAGUGGCAAACUUGAAAGCAGGAAAAGCAAGCAGAGCUAAACCAAGUGAGAAGCAGCGGAGAGAUCAUGCUGUCCAGGUGACCAUUUACUGUUGGAAGUGGCAGUAUCCUGAAAUGCUUAUUGCUUUUGCACAGGUUGCUGUAUUUAAAGCUCAUCAGCAUGUAAACCCAAACUCGCAGGCAGCAGAAACCUGGAGUCCAGUUAAACUAAAAAGGAUAUAAACUUCUUUAGGAUUUUUU